UGAAGGAUACCACAUUUCUACCUUAGCCAUGACUAUGGGAAUAUGGCUCUUCUCCUAUGUGGCCAUUUGUUUCCUAGGAAUAGGCCUCAUGGAUUCUGGGGUGUCUCAGACACCAAGAUAUAUGAUCAAAAAGAGAGAACAGAAAGCAGUGCUUAAAUGUGACUCGAUCAAAGGACACCGUUACAUUUACUGGUAUCAGCAGUCCCUGGAAAAAGAAUUGCAGUUCUUGGUUUACCUACAGGAUGAUCAAGUUCUGGAGAGUUCACAGUUGUUCCAGAAUCGAUUAUCAGUUAAAUGGCCCACGAACUCACCCUGCAGCCUGACUUUUGACUCCCCAAAGAAAGGGGACUCAGCUAUGUAUUUCUGUGCUAGCAGUGAAGCCACAGGGAUUCAACAUAACCACCCCGCUGUACAUGAAUGUGACCCACACAGGAAACCUAAGAGGCUAAGGAGAGAGAUGACGGCUUUGUUAGACACGGUACACAGAGAUUCAAUUGAGGUUCCAUAG